rnacentral:snRNA from 1 species
GGUGGUGGUGGAGAGUGGUA